rnacentral:rRNA from 1 species
UACGAAGGGGGCUAGCGUUGCUCGGAAUCACUGGGCGUAAAGCGCACGUAGGCGGAUUGUUAAGUCAGGGGUGAAAUCCUGGAGCUCAACUCCAGAACUGCCUUUGAUACUGGCGAUCUCGAGUCCGGGAGAGGUGAGUAGAACUGCGAGUGUAGAGGUGAAAUUCGUAGAUAUUCGCAAGAACACCAGUGGCGAAGGCGGCUCACUGGCCCGGUACUGACGCUGAGGUGCGAAAGCGUGGGAGCAACAGG